rnacentral:rRNA from 1 species
GCAUAUCAAUAAGCGGAGGAAAAGAAACUAACUAGGAUUCCCUUAGUAACGGCGAGUGAACCGGGAUGAGCUCAAAUUUAAAAUCUGGCGUCUUUCAGGCGUCCGAGUUGUAAUCUAUAGAGGCGUUUUCCGCGCCGGACCGCGUCCAAGUCUCUUGGAAUAGAGUAUCAAAGAGGGUGACAAUCCCGUACUUGACGCGACAACCGGUGCUCUGUGAUACGUUCUCAAUGAGUCGAGUUGUUUGGGAAUGCAGCUCUAAAUGGGUGGUAAAUUCCAUCUAAGGCUAAAUAUUGGCGAGAGACCGAUAGCGAACAAGUACCGUGAGGGAAAGAUGAAAAGCACUUUGGAAAGAGAGUUAAACAGCACGUGAAAUUGUUAAAAGGGAAACGAUUGAAGUCAGUCGUGUGAAAGGUAUUCAGCCGUCUCUGGCGGUGUAUUUGCCUUUCACGGGUCAACAUCAGUUUGAUCCGGUAGAAAAAGGCAGGAGGAAGGUGGCACCCUCGGGUGUGUUAUAGCCUCUUGUCAUAUGUGCCGGACCAGACUGAGGAACGCAGCUUGCCGCAAGGCCGGGGUUCGCCCACGUACAAGCUUAGGAUGUUGAC